rnacentral:tRNA from 1 species
GACCCCGUGGCGGAAAGGCAGACGCAACGGUUUCCAAAACCGAAACCUUCCUAGGGUGUGUGGGUUCAAAUCCCACCGGGGUCACCA